rnacentral:rRNA from 1 species
GAUGAACGCUGGCGGCGUGCCUAAUACAUGCAAGUCGAGCGAAUGAUGAGGAGCUUGCUCCUCUGAUUUAGCGGCGGACGGGUGAGUAACACGUGGGUAAUCUGCCUGUAAGACGGGGAUAACUCCGGGAAACCGGGGCUAAUACCGGAUAACGAGAGAAGAAGCAUUUCUUCUUUUUGAAAGUCGGUUUUGGCUGACACUUACAGAUGAGCCCGCGGCGCAUUAGCUAGUUGGUGAGGUAACGGCUCACCAAGGCGACGAUGCGUAGCCGACCUGAGAGGGUGAUCGGCCACACUGGGACUGAGACACGGCCCAGACUCCUACGGGAGGCAGCAGUAGGGAAUCUUCGGCAAUGGGCGAAAGCCUGACCGAGCAACGCCGCGUGAGCGAUGAAGGCCUUCGGGUCGUAAAGCUCUGUUGUUAGAGAAGAACAAGUACGAGAGCAACUGCUCGUACCUUGACGGUACCUAACCAGAAAGCCACGGCUAACUACGUGCCAGCAGCCGCGGUAAUAC